UACGGGGGGGGCAAGCGUUGUUCGGAAUUACUGGGCGUAAAGGGCUCGUAGGCGGCCAACUAAGUCAGACGUGAAAUCCCUCGGCUUAACCGGGGGAACUGCGUCUGAUACUGGAUGGCUUGAGUUUGGGAGAGGGAUGCGGAAUUCCAGGUGUAGCGGUGAAAUGCGUAGAUAUCUGGAGAACACUCGUGGCGAAGGCGGCCAGCUAGACCAGUUCUGACAUGAGGCGCGACAGCGUGGGGAGCAAACAGG
rnacentral:rRNA from 1 species